GUGUCAGCAGCCGCGGUAAUACGAGAGGCCCAAACAUUAUUCGGAAUUACUGGGCUUAAAGAGUUCGUAGGCGGCAUGGUAAGUAGGGUGUGAAAUCCCUCGGCUCAACCGAGGAAUUGCGCUCUAAACUACCGUGCUAGAGGAAGCUAGAGGUGAGCGGAACUGAUGGUGGAGCGGUGAAAUGCGUUGAUAUCAUCAGGAACACCGGAGGCGAAGGCGGCUCACUGGGGCUUUUCUGACGCUGAGGAACGAAAGCCAGGGUAGCGAACGGGAUUAGAUACCCCCGUAGUCC
rnacentral:rRNA from 1 species